rnacentral:rRNA from 1 species
UACGAAGGGGGCUAGCGUUGCUCGGAAUUACUGGGCGUAAAGCGCACGUAGGCGGCUUUCUAAGUCGGGGGUGAAAUCCUGGAGCUCCAACUCCAGAACUGCCUUCGAUACUGGAAGCUCGAGUCCGGGAGAGGUGAGUGGGAACUGCGAGUGUAGAGGUGAAAUUCGUAGAUAUUCGCAAGAACACCAGUGGCGAAGGCG